GCGCUCAUAGCUCAGCUGGAUAGAGUGUCUGACUACGAAUCAGAAGGCCGGGAGUUCGAAUCUCUCUGAGCGCA
rnacentral:tRNA from 1 species